AAUUUGAGCCUUUGAUCAUGGCCGGUUGGGAGACGCAUAAUCGGCGGCACUACCGCCGUUUAAUGAAAAGUAGCAUGUAUCUUCAUACAUGCACUUAAUCCGAUCAGUUAAAUUCAUGAGAGCAGGGGUUCAAUAGCAGUUUCCGAGCAAGCGCAAGAAACAUUUGGGUGGCCUUGUGAUGGUCUUACAUGGAUAUGUGAUUUUUUGACGUCACACUAUCACUAUUCACCAUAGUAUUCGUCUCAAAUUUUAGGAAAAAUUCACAAUUACCCGGCCGCCGGAAACAUCUAAAUUUACUGAUGAAACGGAUGCUUUUACCAUUCCCGCAGUUCAUCGGCAAUAAGUGUUACAAGAUGAAGUAUCAGGAACAACUGAAAACCGGGGAAACAUGCCCGAACAUGGGCAGAAUUAUCGUCAUAUUCAAAAUCCCUAGUACAGGGAAUGAUAUCCGGCGACGGCAUUUCGGGACUUGGCCUUCUCCGUCCCAGCAACGAUGGCACUGGAUACCUUUGGUUAUGGUGAACAAUUCAGCCACGUUGACGGCUAACAGAAUAAAGUGUGCCUUUGAAAAGCUAUCGAUAAACAUAUUCACAAUCGUGCGGAUGCUUGGUGGACAUUGGGGGAUCUGGGCAUUUUUCAGUUCUUAAUUGGCACAACCAUAACAACUAUCGUGCUGUAUCGUUUGUCACAUUAAAACAAAGAAGCUGAAGUGCGAAAUGAGUGAGCUGUUGCAUGAGAUGUCAUACUGUAUAUUAUGUACAUGUAGUAGUAAUUCCAGCAUUUGGGUCCAUUCAUUAUUCAUGCGGAGACAGCAGAGUGCAAAACUGAUCCCUGGUCGGACUUGCAAUUGCUCAUACAACAAUACCAGCAAAGCGUUCUUCUGAAGCCG